GCCACUACAGCUCAUUGGUAGGACACUAGUCUCGUAACCAGGUGUCGUGAGUUUAAUUCUCACUGGUGGCU
rnacentral:tRNA from 1 species